rnacentral:rRNA from 1 species
ACUUCGGUUCACCGAGAAAUGGGAGUGGCGAACGGGUGAGUAACACGUGGGUAACCUACCCAUCAGCGGGGGAUAACACUUGGAAACAGGUGCUAAUACCGCAUAAUUCUUUUCUUCGCCUGGAGGGAAGAUGAAAGACGCUUUUGCGUCACUGAUGGAUGGACCCGCGCCGCAUUAGCUAGUUGGUGGGGUAACGGCUCACCAAGGCCACGAUGCAUAGCCGACCUGAGAGGGUGAUCGGCCACACUGGGACUGAGACACGGCCCAGACUCCUACGGGAGGCAGCAGUAGGGAAUCUUCGGCAAUGGACGAAAGUCUGACCGAGCAACGCCGCGUGAGUGAAGAAGGUUUUCGGAUCGUAAAACUCUGUUGUUAGAGAAGAACAAGGAUGAGAGUAGAAUGUUCAUCCCUUGACGGUAUCUAACCAGAAAGCCACGGCUAACUACGUGCCAGCAGCCGCGGUAAUACGUAGGUGGCAAGCGUUGUCCGGAUUUAUUGGGCGUAAAGCGAGCGCAGGCGGUUUCUUAAGUCUGAUGUGAAAGCCCCCGGCUUAACCGGGGAGGGUCAUUGGAAACUGGGAGACUUGAGUGCAGAAGAGGAGAGUGGAAUUCCAUGUGUAGCGGUGAAAUGCGUAGAUAUAUGGAGGAACACCAGUGGCGAAGGCGACUCUCUGGUCUGUAACUGACGCUG